CUCCACCCCCACUCCCGCGCUUGACGUCAGGCACCCGCGCGCGCACCCCGCCCUGGCGUCUUCCAAGCUCAGCCGGCGCGCACGCGCCCAACGUCCCCGCCGACGCGCUGUGCUGCGAGCUCUACUUCCCCGACGUUCUAUGGAAAUAAGGAGGCCGCCUCAGCCAAUCCGGAGCGGCUCUCUGCCAGGAGCGAAUGAGGGAGCAGCAGCGGAAGAGGGGGCGGGGCAGACCUUGAGGCUGGCGGGGCGGCCCCGCCCUGCUGCUGUGAGAGGGGCGCGAGAACAGGAGCUAAAGCAUCAGGGAAAAAGAAAGUAAUUCCUCUCUGGAAUGAUUUGGUAGUACAGGCAGUCCUCGACUUACAUUUCGAGUUACAACAUUUUGCACUUACAACGUUUAUAAAUUGACACCCGGUUUCAACUUUCUGACUUCAGUUUCAACUUCACAACACUUGACCCAAUGCAACACCACACCAGCGAACAGGUUUGCUGUGUCACCCAUCUCCCUGGAGAACAUCUGUCUAAACUUCUUGGAUACUUUCUUUAAGAAAGCAGGCAAGACUCCAGAAAAACAUGUAGCCAAGACUCCUGAGAAGACUCCAGUCAAGAACCCUUCAAAAAGUCCAGCAAAGUCACCUCAAAGAAGCCCUUCCAAAUAAAUAUGAUUGCUACUUACAAUAUAAAUACAUUAAUAUAGCUAUAUUAAUCAUCUAUAAUUGAUUGAGUACAACAUUUUGAUUUAUUUUUGGUGAAAAUAAGGUAUCAGGCCUUGGUUUAGGAACCAAUCCCCCAUUUAUAGCAUUGUUUCCUAUGGGAAAAUCGGUUCCGAGUUACAGCGUUUUGACUUAAGACAUGGUUUUCAGGAACCAAUUGUGUCGUAAGUCCAAGGACUGCCUGUAUCCAGCAAACAAGUGCUACAGAAAUUCCCGUGAUGCCUCCCUCACCUUUCUCCUGUUAAACUACUGGUGUGUUUGUAUGACAUAUGCAUUCACUUUUAUAAAUAUUAAAAUGUUAAUUGAAUAUAUAUUAA